ACGGAAGGCAGCAGUGGGGGAUAUUGCACAAUGGGGGAAACCCUGAUGCAGCGACGCCGCGUGGGCGAAGAAGUAUUUCGGUAUGCAAAGCUCUAUCAGCAGGGAAGAAAAUGACGGUACCUGACUAAGAAGCCCCGGCUAACUACGUGCCAGCAGCCGCGGUAAUACGUAGGGGGCAAGCGUUAUCCGGAUUUACUGGGUGUAAAGGGAGCGUAGACGGCAAGGUAAGUCUGAAGUGAAAUGCCGGGGCUCAACCCCGGAACUGCCUUGGAAUCUAUCUCGCUCGAGUACCGGAGGGGUAAGCGGAAUUCCUAGUGUAGCGGUGAAAUGCGUAGAUAUUAGGAGGAACACCAGUGGCGAAGGCGGCUUACUGGACGGUAACUGACGUUGAGGCUCGAAAGCGUGGGGAGCAAACAGGAUUAGAUACCCUGGUA
rnacentral:rRNA from 1 species